AUUGAACGCUGGCGGCAGGCCUAACGCAUGCAAGUCGAGCGGAUGAAGGGAGCUUGCUCCUGGAUUCAGCGGCGGACGGGUGAGUAAUGCCUAGGAAUCUGCCUGGUAGUGGGGGAUAACGUCCGGAAACGGGCGCUAAUACCGCAUACGUCCUGAGGGAGAAAGUGGGGGAUCUUCGGACCUCACGCUAUCAGAUGAGCCUAGGUCGGAUUAGCUAGUUGGUGGGGUAAAGGCCUACCAAGGCGACGAUCCGUAACUGGUCUGAGAGGAUGAUCAGUCACACUGGAACUGAGACACGGUCCAGACUCCUACGGGAGGCAGCAGUGGGGAAUAUUGGACAAUGGGCGAAAGCCUGAUCCAGCCAUGCUGCGUGUGUGAAGAAGGUCUUCGGAUUGUAAAGCACUUUAAGUUGGGAGGAAGGGCAGUAAGUUAAUACCUUGCUGUUUUGACGUUACCAACAGAAUAAGCACCGGCUAACUUCGUG
rnacentral:rRNA from 1 species